GAUGAACGCUGACGGCGUGCCUAACACAUGCAAGUCGAACGGUUUUUGCGUCUUUAGCUUUGGAUUAGGUGGCGAACGGGUGAGUAACGCGUGGAGAACUUGCCUCACAGCUUGGGACAACCACUGGAAACGAAUGCUAAUACCGAAUAUUAUGAUACUAGCGCAUGCUAUAAUCGUGAAAGCUAUGGGCGCGUGGGGAGAGCGUUGGGGCCCAUUUGCUGGUUGGGGGGUUAAAGACUCACCAAGGCAAGGAUGGGUAGCCGGCUCGCGAGAGCGACCAGCGAAAAGAGGACUGAGAGACGGACCAGUCUCCUACGGGAGGCAGCGGAGGGGAAUAUUGCAGAAAAGGGGAAAGGCUGAUGCAGCGACGAUGCGUGCGGAAUGAAGGGGUUUGGGUGAAAAACAGCUUUCUGCAGGGAGGAAGCGAAAAUGACGGUACCUAAAGAAGAAGCCACGGCUAAAUACGUG
rnacentral:rRNA from 1 species